rnacentral:tRNA from 1 species
AAGACGCUAGUAAAAUUAUUACCCUACCUUGUCGAGAUAGAGUUGUGGGUUAAAACCCCACGCGCCUUA